GGCUGCAUUGGUCCCUGUUGAAAUCCCAUAGCCUGAUGAUUCUGCUAAGGCAUCUGUGGAAAGACAAACUGCCCUGUCCAUCCAUUAUUAACAUUCAUCAGCGUAGGCCCUGCCGAUGGCUGAUAAUUGGGCAUCAUCAUUGAAUUGACAUACCCUAGCUGUGUCAUAAACCUUUGCUGCGUCGGCAUUGGAUCUGCCGAUGCGUUAGGCAUCUGGAACGUUGGUAUUUGAGAAUUCCCAAUAAAGGGUCU
rnacentral:lncRNA from 1 species